rnacentral:rRNA from 1 species
AUUGAACGCUGGCGGCAUGCCUUACACAUGCAAGUCGAACGGCAGCACGGGAGCAAUCCUGGUGGCGAGUGGCGAACGGGUGAGUAAAGUAUCGGAACGUGCCCAGUCGUGGGGGAUAACGUAGCGAAAGUUACGCUAAUACCGCAUACGAUCUAUGGAUGAAAGCGGGGGAUCGCAAGACCUCGCGCGAUUGGAGCGGCCGAUAUCAGAUUAGGUAGUUGGCGGGGUAAAGGCUCACCAAGCCGACGAUCUGUAGCUGGUCUGAGAGGACGACCAGCCACACUGGGACUGAGACACGGCCCAGACUCCUACGGGAGGCAGCAGUGGGGAAUUUUGGACAAUGGGCGAAAGCCUGAUCCAGCCAUGCCGCGUGCAGGAUGAAGGCCUUCGGGUUGUAAACUGCUUUUGUACGGAACGAAAAGGUUUGGGCUAAUAAGCUGAGCUCAUGACGGUACCGUAAGAAUAAGCACCGGCUAACUACGUGCCAGCAGCCGCCGUAA